rnacentral:misc_RNA from 1 species
CCCUCACCAGGUCUCCUGCUGCUGAU